CCUUGACUGUCAUCUGCUGAUAUGAGAUACUUCCUUCUCAAUCUAGAGUCUCACUAGCUGGAUGAGAGUGCCCUUGAAGAACAAGUCAGAACUUCUAGUAGAACAUUCCCACAGGCACAUGGACUAAAGAAGAUUUUAAGGCCUAAAAAUCUCCCUCUCUAUUAGUGACUUCUUAUAAACAGACACAGUUAAGGUGAAUGAUGAGCCAUAAAAGGAAGUUCCAACCAUCUUGACUCUCAGUGACAAUAACUGUAUAUUACUUUUUCUCUCAUUUCCAAUGAGCACAGAAGUUAUGAGGCGUGGUAGAUUGUAUUAUCAGGUCCACGUGUCUGCUUUCCUGCAAGGUGUGAGAAUGAUGCCUCUCAGCUACAUGGAUGUCAGGCUUCACCAUCUGGCCAAAAAGAGGUUUUGGUAUUUUCCCCUGUAUUUUCUGGUGUGCCUCUUGGCUAUAAAUAAUCUUGAUAGCAACUGCUGUAUGUGGACUGUGAGACUGAGACGCCCUCUUAGGUUAAAUCUUCAUACCUGAACAUGUUUGGAAUUAAUGUGUAUACCUCUGGCUUCCAUGGCCCCAAAUUGUUUAUGGAGCAGCAGCCAUUGUAUCUGUGUUCUAAGCAGAAGAAGAAUGGAGCAGGGAGGAGCUGGAAGAAAAGAGGAACACCUCCUAGUGGAAUCCAUUUUAUUUAAGGGUCCCCAUCAGAUGAAUUAAUUUUUUGACAAACCUCAGUUGCAAAGGAAGUGGUGUGUAUUGUUUUAGUUGGGCUCAUGGCUCCUCAGAAUAUAUUGGUCAGGUAGUAGGCAGGCUGUGUCAUAUCAUCUUUUAGGAAUGAGGCUUAGGUAGAAAGAAUAUUGCUUUAGAACCUGGUUAUAAUUGCAUUUAGAUCCUAGUUGGAUUGCUUUUUAGCUGUGUGACAAUGGGAAAUGUAUUUUCAUUUUCUGGAUCAGCUUUUGUAGUUGUAAAAUGGAGAUGAUAAUCCUUUCUCAUGGGCUGUUACAGAUUUGAUGCACAAGACAGCUCACGCAGCAUGCUCAGCACAGAGCUUAGCAUUUGAACGGUUAGUGCUGUCUUUCAUGCCUGAUAGAAUGUGCUAUUUACCCACAUGGAGGUUUUGAUCACCAGCUCUCAGCUACAGCUUCAAAUGCAAAUUCUCAGAUAUAAAACAUCGAAGGACAAAUCCAUAUUUUCAAUAAUUCUAGCAACAAUAAGAGCCGGCAAGAAGAUGAGAUGGUUAGCUUUUUGAGCUUGGCUUACCUCACUCAACAUGAUGUCCUCCAGUUUUGGCUAUUUUCCUGCCAAAGACAUAAUUUCAUUUUUCUUUAUGGGUGUAUAAUAUUCUGUGGUGUUUAUGUAGCAUAUUUUCUCUAUCUACUCAUCAGUUAUUGGGCAGUGUGAGAGCUAAAAGACAUGCAUAUAUGUGUAUUAUAUAUAAUACUAUGGUAUAUUAUACAUAUUAACAGCUACACACAUGUGCACAUACAUAUGCACACAUACACAAAGAACAUGUUUUUAAUUAUGGGACUAUUUGGGGAUCAAAAAGAAAGGGGAGAGGGAAAGAAUGGUGGAAUAAUGGAGGGUGGAUAGUACUGAAAUAAGGAAGUGCACUGCAAAGAUAUGAACAAUAGGGGCUGGAGUGGAC